rnacentral:rRNA from 1 species
AACGAACGCUGGCGGCAUGCCUAACACAUGCAAGUCGAACGAGACCUUCGGGUCUAGUGGCGCACGGGUUCGUAACGCGUGGGAACCUGCCCUUAGGUUCGGAAUAACUCCCCGCAAGGGGUGCUAAUACCGGAUAAUGUCUUCGGACCAAAGAUUUAUCGCCUUUGGAUGGGCCCGCGUUGGGUUAGAUAGUUGGUAUGGUAAAAGCCUACCAAGGCGACGCUCAAUAGCUGGUCUGAGAAAAUGAUCAGCCACACUGGGACUGAGACACGACCCAGACUCCUACGGGAGGCAGCAGUAGGGAGUAUUGGACAAUGAGCGAAAGCCUGAUGCAGCAAUGCCGCGUGAGUGAUAAAGGCCUUAGGGUUGUAGAGCUCUUUUACCCGGUAUGAUAAUGACAGUACCGGGAGAAUAAACUCCGGCUAACUCCGUG